AGCCUUUUUAUCAAUACGGUCACUGUGAUUAGAGAAAAAAAUAUCUGACAGGUGAUGAAUUUUUGUUGACAACAUUUUCAUUCCAAAUUCCAAUUGAAGCAGAGUUGAGGUCCUGCCGGUGUUCAGAGGUGGAAUCGACACGCUGACCAUGGAGAUGGUCCGACAGAUUAAGAUUAAUUAAGUGGAAUCAGCUGAGCCGAAGUUUUGCUAGGGCUUCUCUUGUAUGAGGAUUGGAAAUCUGCUACAAAACAUAGAUCGGACUAGGCUUGACCACGGCAUCAAAAAUGGGCCCAGGAGUUAGUGUCGGCGAUCUAUCUGGGAAGUCAAGAAGGUUUCAUCCUGACCCUAACGCCGAUUUUAACCCGCACCAAACCAGG